UCAACCAGCAAGGAAAAGCAGCCGUUAUAAAGUGAUGUGUCUAGGUCGCACAGGGACUCAGGAGCCAGGUCUUAGUUGCACUACUGGUGAUUGAUCAUUGCUGCAAAAAUGAUGAUAAGAUAUUAAACUAUUUGGGGGUUAGAAAAGAAGGAUCGCUUUGGAUAAAAUUUUUGAGUGUCAGAAUACAAUUGUAGGACUAUUUGAGAAAGGUUCUUUUCCAGUUAUAUCGUUGCAGCUCGCCUGUGCAAUUUUACUCACCGGAACCUUCAACAUCCUUCUUGGCCAAUUAAAUCAAACUAGAUAUAUUUCAUUAGUCCUUGCUGGUGUUGCGGUAGGGCCGUCAUUGCUUGGAGGUACAGAAACAUUUAAAUGGAUGAUCACAAAAUCAGGAGGAACCUCAUUAGUAGAACUUGUUUCAUCCAUUGGGUUGAUGUUCUUCUUGUUAGAAAUCCCCGGGCCUAACUAACCUCGAAAACCGGCUUGCAAGGUUAGGGUUGCCCAUGACUUAUUAAGCACGGAUCCUAGGUUGCCCUAGGCGAUGUGGUACUAUUUAAUACCCCCUCAACGACUAGGGCUACACUGAACUGAUGGGUGUGACAUCCGCUGACUGGGCUACACUGAUGGGUGAUACAGAAAUCACGGACACACGGAUGGACACGGAUGGAUUGAGAGGGGCCUGGCUCUGGUACGAUGUUAGAAAUUCCCGGACCUAACUAACCUCGAAAAUUGGCUUGCAAGGUUAGGAUCGCCCAUGACUUAUUAAGCAUGGAUCCUAGGUUACCCUAGGCGAUGUGGUACUAUUUAACACUUCUUACUCCUGGUCGGAGUGAAAACAGAUAUGGAUAUGGUUCUGAAAGCAAGAAAAAAACUUUUGUCAUAGGCUUUUGUACUUUCACCAUCUCUUUAAUCUUUAUUGCAGCUGUUUGUUUUUUCAUCAUGAACCAUAUUCCUAUGGACCAAGAUUUGUACGAUUCCCUCAAAUUCAUUACACUGAUACUAUCUUGCUCUUCCUUCUACGAUACCGCUUGUGUAGAUGGUGACUUGAACCUCCUCAACUCAGAGAUUGGUCGUCUAGCUCUGGCUAUUUCGAUAAUCACCGGGUUGUGCACUUGGUUAUUCACGUUUGCACUCAACAUUGCACGAAGCCACUACAUUGAAGGCAGUAAUGGUGAUAUUUUCUUGGAUGAGUAAAGGUUUCAUUGUCAUGUUCGUCCUGCUCAUUAUACGUAGCAAAACAUUAAAGGAGGAGUAUGUUGGGUUGAUCCUUCUUGCUGUCUUGGGAACUGCAUUAUAUAGCGAGGCCAUUGGGCAACACGCCAUGUUUGGACCGCUUAUGAUUGGACAUCUGGUACCUGUUGGGACACCGGUAGGAAUUGCUGUUCAAAAAAAGCUCGACUGCUUUCUUACGUGCUCUUGCCAGCAUUUUAUGUUGUAGUAGGUUAUCCAGUACAUGCAUUCCAAGUCAGAAUGAAGGACUUUGCGAUUGUGGAGUUAAUAUUGUUCCUUGCUUUAUUUGCGAGGCUUACUGCAGUGGUGUUGGCUUCCUUCUAUUGCCAAAUGCGAAUUCAGGAUUCCUUCUCACUCGGUCUCAUCUUAAAUUGUGGCGGGAUAUAUCAUCUCAUGUAUUUAACUUUCACUUUAUGCAGAAAAGGUGCUCAAUCAAGAAACUUAUACCAUCAUGCUCUUCACAAUUGCUUCAAUAACAAUGAUAACCACACCAAUAGUGAAAAAAUUAUAUGAUCCUUCAAGGAAAUAUUCUGGCUAUAAGAGACAAGGUAUCCAAUAUUCUACUAUCAAGGGAGAGCUCCGCAUACUUGCUUGUGUCUAUGAACAAGACAGUGCCCCCACCAUCCUCAAGUUCCUUGAAGCCACUAAUCCAACGAAAGAUGGUACUGUGUGUAUAUAUGUAUUGCACCUCAUUGAGCUGGUAGGCCGUGCAGCUUCCCUCCUGGUUGAACAUAAAAGGUAUAAGAAGAAAACAUAUACACAUUCCCGUAGUCGUAACACGUCAGAAAAACUUAUCAGCGCCUUCAACCAUUUUGAACAACUGAAUCAAUGCUUCAUCAUUGGAGAAUGUUUCACUGCAGUAUCACCGUUUGCAAGCAUGCACACCGAUGUAGCUCAAAUAGCAAUCGACAAGAGGGCAAAUAUGAUCAUCAUACCCUUUCUUGAGUUAGCCCAACACCCCAUUCUGGUAGUCAACCGAAGUAUUUUGGGUAAAGCACCAUGCUCAGUCGGGAUACUAUUCGACCACAUAAACGGGUCGAAACCUGUUAUGGAUGUUCUUGCAAGAUGCCAUAAUGUUGCUAUGAUUUUUAUAGGAGGACCUGACGAUUAAGAGGCACUUGCAUAUAGUAUGAAAAUAGCAGAUACACCUGACUUAUAUCUCUCAGUUUUUAGAUUCACGCAUUCAAACUCGAAAUACGGCAGUAAAAAAAGAAAAAAAGAGGAUGUCGUACUUAUAAAUGAAUUGUUUCACAUGAUCAUGACAAGCGGAAAUAUUAUGUAUAAAGAGGAAGAAGUAACAGAUUGUGCAAACACUGCAUUUAAAUAUAAAUCCAUGGAAGACACUUAUGACUUCAUAAUAGUAGGUAGACGACAUGACAAUAACUCGCCAAUCUUGUCUGGACUAGACGAAUGGUGUGUGUACAAAGAGCUUAGAGUUAUUCGAGAUAUUCUAGCUACAUCUAAUUCCCAUGGGGAAUUUUCAAUUUUGGUAAUGCAACAAUAGGUCCUGAAGUAGAAUUCUUUUUGUUUUUUCUUUUUUCGUUGGAGAUGGUUAGCGGGGACACUCGAACGACUUACCUCAAGAAUGAGAGAGUCCGACACCUGGGCUAUUGUAAAGCAGAAUCUUAGACGAAAUAGA